rfam:Ascaris lumbricoides genome assembly, scaffold: ALTE_scaffold0001176
CCAACGGCCCUCUUUAGGGCCACAAACAACUAAAACAAAGUUCAC